UAGGGAAUCUUCGGCAAUGGGGGGAACCCUGACCGAGCAACGCCGCGUGAGUGAAGAAGGUUUUCGGAUCGUAAAGCUCUGUUGUAAGAGAAGAACGGGUGUGAGAGUGGAAAGUUCACACUGUGACGGUAUCUUACCAGAAAGGGACGGCUAACUACGUGCCAGCAGCCGCGGUAAUACGUAGGUCCCGAGCGUUGUCCGGAUUUAUUGGGCGUAAAGCGAGCGCAGGCGGUUAGAUAAGUCUGAAGUUAAAGGCUGUGGCUUAUCCAUAGUAUGCUUUGGAAACUGUUUAACUUGAGUGCAGAAGGGGAGAGUGGAAUUCCAUGUGUAGCGGUGAAAUGCGUAGAUAUAUGGAGGAACACCGGUGGCGAAAGCGGCUCUCUGGUCUGUAACUGACGCUGAGGCUCGAAAGCGUGGGGAGCAAACA
rnacentral:rRNA from 1 species